rnacentral:rRNA from 1 species
UACGUAGGGUGCAAGCGUUAAUCGGAAUUACUGGGCGUAAAGCGUGCGCAGACGGUUGCGUAAGUCAGAUGUGAAAGCCCCGGGCUCAACCUGGGAAUGGCAUUGGAAACUGGCGGACUCGAGUGUGGCAGAGGGGGGUGGAAUUCCGCGUGUAGCAGUGAAAUGCGUAGAGAUGCGGAGGAACACCGAUGGCGAAGGCAGCCCCCUGGGCUAACACUGACGCUCAGGCACGAAAGCGUGGGGAGCAAACAGG